CAUGAACGCUGGCGGCGUGCCUAAUACAUGCAAGUCGAGCGAACAGAUGAGGAGCUUGCUCCUCUGACGUUAGCGGCGGACGGGUGAGUAACACGUGGAUAACCUACCUAUAAGACUGGGAUAACUUCGGGAAACCGGAGCUAAUACCGGAUAAUAUAUUGAACCGCAUGGUUCAAUAGUGAAAGACGGUUUUGCUGUCACUUAUAGAUGGAUCCGCGCCGCAUUAGCUAGUUGGUAAGGUAACGGCUUACCAAGGCAACGAUGCGUAGCCGACCUGAGAGGGUGAUCGGCCACACUGGAACUGAGACACGGUCCAGACUCCUACGGGAGGCAGCAGUAGGGAAUCUUCCGCAAUGGGCGAAAGCCUGACGGAGCAACGCCGCGUGAGUGAUGAAGGUCUUCGGAUCGUAAAACUCUGUUAUUAGGGAAGAACAAAUGUGUAAGUAACUAUGCACGUCUUGACGGUACCUAAUCAGAAAGCCACGGCUAACUACGU
rnacentral:rRNA from 1 species